AAUAUUGCACAAUGGGCGCAAGCCUGAUGCAGCCAUGCCGCGUGUAUGAAGAAGGCCUUCGGGUUGUAAAGUACUUUCAGCAGUGAGGAAGGUGGGUAUGUUAAUAGCAUACUCAUUUGACGUUAGCUGCAGAAGAAGCACCGGCUAACUCCGUGCCAGCAGCCGCGGUAAUACGGAGGGUGCGAGCGUUAAUCGGAAUUACUGGGCGUAAAAGCGCAUGCAGGUGGUUUGUUAAGUCAGAUGUGAAAGCCCGGGGCUCAACCUCGGAAUUGCAUUUGAAACUGGCAAACUAGAGUACUGUAGAGGGGGUAGAAUUUCAGGUGUAGCGGUGAAAUGCGUAGAGAUCUGAAGGAAUACCGGUGGCGAAGGCGGCCCCCUGGACAGAUACUGACACUCAGAUGCGAAAGCGUGGGGAGCAAACAGGAUUAGAUACCCUGGUAG
rnacentral:rRNA from 1 species